AUACGUAGGGUGCAAGCGUUAAUCGGAAUUACUGGGCGUAAAGCGUGCGCAGGCGGUUUUGGAAGACAGGGGUGAAAUCCCCGGGCUCAACCUGGGAACUGCCAUUGUGAAUGGCAGGAUGGAGGGCGGGAGAGGGGGAUGGAAUUACGCGUGUAGCAGUGAAAUGCGUAGAUAUGCGGAGGAACACCGAUGGCGAAGGCAAUCCCCUGGGCCUGCACUGACGCUCAUGCACGAAAGCGUGGGGAGCAAACAGGAUUAGAUACCCUGGUAGUCCACGCCCUAAACGAUGUCAACUGGUUGUUGGGGAUUUAUUUUCUCAGUAACGAAGCUAACGCGUGAAGUUGACCGCCUGGGGAGUACGGCCGCAAGGUUAAAACUCAAAUGAAUUGGCGGGG
rnacentral:rRNA from 1 species